rnacentral:rRNA from 1 species
UACGAAGGGUGCAAGCGUUACUCGGAAUUACUGGGCGUAAAGCGUGCGUAGGUGGUUGCUUAAGUCUGUUGUGAAAGCCCUGGGCUCAACCUGGGAAUUGCAGUGGAUACUGGGCGACUAGAGUGUGGUAGAGGGUAGUGGAAUUCCCGGUGUAGCAGUGAAAUGCGUAGAGAUCGGGAGGAACAUCCAUGGCGAAGGCAGCUACCUGGACCAACACUGACACUGAGGCACGAAAGCGUGGGGAGCAAAAGGG